CUAAAUAAACAAACCUAAACUCUAAAUACUAAACCCUAAAUCCCAAAUAUUAAAUCAGCCGUAAUAAGCUAUAUAACUCGGAUGCCACGUUUGUUAAAUGUUGUCGUUUGGCGGGAAAUAAGAUAAAUAAAUUUUGAGAAAUUUCAAUUCCCGCCGUUUCACGUUCUAUGUUUCUCUAUAUAUAGUGCCCUCUCUAAUACCCUUUCUUACGCCUUUAUCUCUCUAGAAAAAACCUAAACAAUAUCUCUCUAUCCCCAUCAAAAGCCAUGCCGAUUGUUCCUGGAAAUUCAGAGAGGUUAGAGAACAGUGUUUUUGCGAUACUAAGCUCUGCAAAUCGUGAAAACCUCCAUGUUCUAUACCCUGGUCCGUGUGACUUGCUUGACACAACCAGCUCUACAUGGUUUAAAUUUUUAACUGAUCUCUCCCUGGUCAUCCCGACGAUUCUUGCAGAAGGAUGGGUUCAUGCAUGGCCGACAUACUGCGACAUUCCCGAUCAUUUUAUAGAACGCUGGUUUCUUCAACUCGCUGUAAGGCCCGACAUUUGUUCAUAUAUAUUAAUAUAUACCAUCGGUCUGUAAUCUUUGUAUUUUUUGUUUGCUGUAGCGGACAAACACAUGGGAUCGAAGGCAUCAUUUGACAGUUUGGCGUAAUUUUAAUCUUGUGGCCAGAAGUCUAUUUCGUUGUCAGAUGCGCCAUUUGAGGUGGACUUGGUCGGAAGGAGGCGAGAAGCCAACUUGGAUGCUAACCAGCGUUUGGCUUGAUCUCUGCCACAUGUUUGAAGAGUCUGGUCCAGAUAAUUUUGGUUCCUGAAAGUCUUUUCGUGUCUGUAUUUUGAACUUCAUUAUUUCAGCCAUAACUUGUUUCAAUGAUUCAGGCGCAACUAGUUUGAAUGUAAUCUCGGCCACACAUUUUAUAUAAUUCAGGCAUAACUUGUUUCAAUAACUCAGCCGUAAUUGUAUUUUGAAACGCAUUAUUUCUGUUUGUGAAUGUUAUCUCGGCCACAUAUCUAAUAUAAUUAAGGUAUAACUCAGCCAUCAUUUUAUUUAAAUAAGUCAGGCAUAUCGUAUUUAAAUAACUCAGUCAUCAUUGUAUUUAAAUAACCCAGCAUCGAUUUAAUUUUAAGAGGCGGUAUAUGGGAAGUUCCAUCAUUGUGCGCGUGGGAAAAUUUGGCUGCCAUGAUAAUAUCGAGACUCAUUAUUACGAGUUUUUAUAUAUAUGUUUCAUUUACAAUAUCGAGACACUGAUAUUAUAUUGUAUUUUAUAUAUUUAAUAGUACUAUAUCUGUGAUGUCGUAUCUCUUCUUACAAAGUAAAACAAUUUUUAGUUUUCAAGGACUUUGAAAUCUAUUUUAACAAUGUCUUCCUCAUCCUUCACCUCAGGAAAUUAUUACAGACGACGUAGGAAUAUGGAAAGAGGAACGCCGCAAGAGUGUUGGUGUGGUGCACCAUCUGACAUUUUUACAUCUGGAAGCGAAACAAAUCCAGGAAGAUUGUACUAUUGCUGUGCAAAAGGAUAUCAUAAGGUUAGUUCUGGUUCUUAUUUCCCAUGUUCGGAAACGUAAUACUUAGAUCUGGUAACAUUGGUGAAAACAGAGUCAUUUAUUCAAAUGGGCGGAUGAGUGCUUGGUGGAAGAGGUUGAAGAUAUUAAGGCAGUGAUAAAUGGCAUGAAUAGAGACAUCUCGGAGUUGCGAGUUAACGUUGCUCGGUUGGCGAAUGGAGUAAAGACAGAAUCUGAGAGAAAAGGAGGCGAAUGUUUGAGUGAGAGUAGGUGUUUGAGGAAUGUGGUUGUUUGUAUGGCUGGAAUGGCGAUAUUUUGCUACUACUACUUCUCUGUUUAGUCAUGUUUUGUCAUCAUAAGUCAGCUUUCGCGUGUUAUGUAACUCAGCCUUUAUUAACUUUUAAGUUGUUUUAACUCAGUCGUAUGUAAACAAAACUAUGCGUUUAUUAAUAUAUAACUCAGCCGUUAAAUCAAAUUGAUAAAAGCGAGAAUGUUUUGUUACCUCUAGUAAAUGACAUAAAUAGCCUUUGGUUAGUUUUAUUUACUUUUAUGCUCAGAUAGUCUCAUCAACCAGUAACAUUGAUUGACAAAACAAUUAGAAAAAAAAAAACAUUGUCGGAAACGGAGAAGGAACCGCAAGGAUACUAAAUCGCCGUCGACAUUGUGUUUACUUCCUCUUCCUAAAAAUAACUGUGAGAUCUCUGUUAUCGUUAUCGUUCGUUUGUACGAAAUCGUCUUCGCCGCAUUCAUAUCUACAAGUUCGUCUUUUCGGUAGGAUGUCGCGACGUUAAAUAUUGAUUUGGGGUUUUGUUUCGAGUGAGUUAGGGUGUUGUUUCGAGUGAGUUAGGGCUAUGUUUCGAGUGAGUUAGGGUGUAGUUGUGAUUAGGUUAUUAUUGUGUUGUGGCUGAGUUAUUGUUAUGUUGUGGCAGAGUUAUUGUUAUGUUUUCCCUGAGUUAUUGUUAUGUUUUCCCUGAGUUAUUGUUAUGUUGUGUCUGAGUUAUUUUAAUGUUGUGGCAGAGUUAUUGUUAUAUUCAUUGAGUUAUUGUUAUAUGUCGUGACUGAGUUAUUGUUUGUUUAUUUGUUCAGAUGGAUGUUUCUGAUGUUAAAUCACGGGGUUACCCUCCAAGACUUUAUCCUGUAGGGUCUUCUAACCUAGAAAAUAAAGACAUUAAUCACAAUUUCCGUUCACGAGAUUUACCUCAUAUUAUAGAAGCACUAGGAGAAGAUGUAUGGAAAGCACUGGUGAACUCUCCCAUUGGAGUAGUUGCUAGGCUAGUUGAACGCCGAAGCGUGUGGUCUGGUAGAACAGUACACUAUCUACUAUGUAGACAGCUGUGAGUACAUAGGAAGGAGAUAUGGAGUCUGGUGGUUGAUGAGCCUAUCAAGUUUAGUUUGGUAGAAUUUGGUGAGAUAACUGGGUUAAACACUGGUCCAUUGCCAACAGAAAGUUUUGAACAUGAUCCUGAUAAAUACAAACCGUUUUGGGCGAAGCUGAAGGUGUCGCUUGGGAGGGGACCCACGUUGGAUAAACUGAAGAACUCAAUAGAGGUCUGCCCGAGUUGGACAUUUGAAGAGCGUAAAUGGUUAGGGCUAUUAGUUCUUCAACACAUGGUACUUUAUUGUUUGCAUCAAAAUUCUCGGGUGCCAUUUGAAAGUGCCAAAAGAGUGUUUGACGAUGAAGCCAUGAAGUCGUAUCCAUGGGGUCGGACUGCAUACGAAGUUCUCAUUGACUCUAUUAAAACGUUGGCUCCAGACAGGGGGUCAUACACAUUAAGCGGCCUAAAAGAUGCGUUAUUGAUUUGGGCGUAUGAAUCCAUCGUCUGCUUUGGCGAGUGUUUUGGGAGAGUGGUGAAUAAUGAAGACGUUCCACUUUUACGAUGGGGUGGAAAGCGUACUCGUGCAAAUUUCGAAAACUUGUUGUCUGCCGAGAUAAAACAACAUAGCCAGGUAAGGUGUAACGCUGCGUUUUGAUUUCUUAAAUGGCUGAUUUAUUAGACUUAAUGGCUGAGUGUUGUGUUUAUUUGGUGGCUGAGUUAUAUUAUGACCUGGUGUUACAGGUGCGUGUUAGGAGAAUGGUUUCGAAGGAGUCAAUCGAAGAGUUGUUUCCUGAAUGGUCGUGUCAACCUGACGACCCACAACUCAUUAACUUGAUAACAGACAUACAUGCAGGUAGAUUUGUAAAAGGUUUUUGGGAAGUGCAUGGAAAUGCGGAGGGGAAGGGUAACGAGAAGAAGAAGAAAGCUGAGCCACCCACUAAGAAGCAUAAUAAAGUUAAGACCAAUGAGGGUGAAGCUGCUGCAACGGGAAACGGUUCAAGCGAAGAGGAAGGUAAUAAAGAUUCGGGGAACAACGCGAGUCUGAUGGCCAUUGCGAGUACUCUGGAUAAACUUUCCAGAAAAUUUGAUCUGAUGGACGUGCGAUUUAAAAAACCAUUGGUGGACCAGAAGUCGAUAGAUGACAUGGUGAAAGUUGCAGUGGAGGAGCGUCUGAAAGUUAUGGGAAGAAGAAAAAAUCCCCAAAACAAAGAUAACCUCUCAAACGUCGUCGCCGACCAACAACCUGAACCGUUGUCAUCACCACAGCCUAAUACCCAGCAGAAGUCUGUCUGUAGUCCACUGUUAGCUGAAACCCCUGGAAAGGAUAUGAGACCUAGAAACAAUUUGUCCAACGAGCUUGAUAAGGAGAGAGGGAUGAAAAAAACUUUGGCUUAGGAGUUUGGAACACAUGCUGAAAAUGAGGGUGCUAAUGUUCUUAAUUUCCUAUAUGUUUCUCUUGCAAAGGCAACUAAGGCUGAAGACUUACGUCGCCACUCCACGCGCAACCGUACUAUAAAGGAUGAGGAUGCAGAAGAUAAGAAAAAAGCUGUGCAAGCAGAGGCUGUGUUGAAGAGGAAGGAUAAAGCUGCCGCUAAGAGAAAAGCGGCUGCCUCAAUGAAGCAAAAACAGCCUGAGUUAAAUAAACCAAAACAGGCUGAGUUAAUGAAUGAAAAACAGGCUGAGUUAAAGAAUCAAGAACAGGCUGAGUUAAUGAAUGAAGAACUGGCUGAGUUAAAAAAUCAAGAAGCCGAUAAUGAGAAGAGAAAGAAUAUAACUACACCGCGUGCCAAUGUAAAAAGAUGCAAGGUUGAAGAUUCUGUAGAGGGCAGUGAAUUUGCUGUAAUGACCGACGAAGUUCUUGCGGAGGAGAAUGAAAUCUUGCCGGAGUCGCCUAUGGAGAGUCAGGAAUUGAUUAGAUCUGCUAUAGUAAAAGAAUAUCUGGAGAAAACAGUUAAAUUAUCUCCACAAGGGUUUGCAUUGUCUGAAGGUUCUUCAAGACCAGUUUUUCCUUACAUUGGAGACAAUGGAACGACGUGCAUGAGGAAUAAUGUUGAGCCUUCAUCAGCAAUAUAUGACCCUCUAGCACCUGUUGAUCCGAUUGUAUUAGAUAAACUUAUGCAACACAUCUCGAGAAUUCCACCCAAACCACCAGCACCAGCAAAGAAAAGAGUUGUAAGAUCUUCCGCUCGUGAGGGUGACUUCUACAGCAUACUCAUCCCUGAAAGACCGUGGCCGCAUAGCCAAUAUGGAUGGUUGUUUGAUGAUGUAAGUCUAUAAUUACGACAGAGUUUUACAUGAUCUUUCAGCUGAUUUCUAUCUUCUAUUAAGGCUGACUUAUAUAUUUGUUUACGGCUGACAUGUUAAUAUCUAUUGUGUAGCAUAUCUCUGCGUAUAUUAACGUCCUCAUUAAGAGGUCCAUGCGAGAUCCCACCCCAUUCUGGACCAAGCGAAUUGCCUUCAUUGAUCCUUGGUUCUUGUCUAAGUGGGUUGACGAUUACAAGCAGUUCAAGAUAAAACCUAAUAUGAUGAAGUUCACAGGGAAUGGUUAUGAAAAUCUUGUACACGGUAAGCUUCCCUCUAACUUUCAAACAAACUUGAAGUGGUAUGAACACGUGGAACACUUGUACGGAUGUCUUCAAACCGGCAGAAAUCACUGGGUGGCUUUUCACGUGGAUCUGAAGAAGGAGAAGGUUGAUUACUAUGAUUCAAUCAUUGGAGAGGUAACAGCCAAAAGUGAGAAGAAAAUGCUUGAUUCAUUUAAACCGAUAACGCUUAUGCUUCCCGAUAUUUUGAAUCAAAACAUUCCUGCCAAUCUCCGAACCCCGAGUAGGAAGAAAUUCGCAUUCAGGAGGAGGAGCAAAAGGUACACUCCACAAAACACCCAGAUUGGCGAUUGUGGGGUGUAUGCGUUGAAGUUUGUGGAGUGUCUAGCGCUUGGUGUAAGUUUUGCUGGGAUAAACGAUAAAAAUAUUCAAGGUUUACGGUUGAAGAUGGCGGCAAAGAUCCUCAAUGAAGGAGAAAACAGGGCGGAGAACAAUUAGCUUUCCAAAUGAAUCUGUGUUUGUUAUUUUCAAUCAGACUUUCCAAUUACCUUAAGUUGUUUAUUGUUGUUUUAUUUUAUUAAGUCAGCCGUUAAGGUAGAUAUAGCUCAGCCAAACCUCAAACCAUACCCUAAGAUUGGAAAAUAUUUAAUAAGUCAGCCGAUUCGUCUUCAUAAAGCAGCCGUUAAGGUAGAUAAAAGUCAGCCAUACCUCAAACCAUACCCUGAAUUAAAAUAAUUGAUAUGUUUAUACUUCAAAAUGUUAUAACAUUCCCUAAUAAGUGAAUAUAUAAUCAACCAAACGUCUCUUAUUUAUUGAAUUAACGAGUUUAGAAUCGAUCAUUAUCUUGAGGUAUAUGUUGUCCUACAAUUACUUAAAACCUUACAUGUAGAUAUAGAGUGUGAUCAUAAUACAACUCUCCUAAACUAUAUACAAUGCAUUUUAAGACUAAAUUUAUGUUAUUUGUUAUAUUUAUCACACCGUUAUUCCAAAUCCUAAACAUAAAUCCCUAAAUAAACAAACCUAAACUCUAAAUACUAAACCCUAAAUCCCAAAUAUUAAAUCAGCCGUAAUAGGCUAUAUAACUCGGCCGCCACGUUUGAUAAAUGUAGAUGUUUGGCGGGGAAAUAAGAUAGCAACUUGGAAUUUUUAUUCUUUGAAUUUGGCGACUAUUCGCAUUUCAAUUGGGCUCUAUAUAUGUCCAAUUUCCCUUUUCAUUCUCUUUCCAC
rnacentral:lncRNA from 1 species